UCCCAUUACUUGACCCUAAUAUUUCUUAAAGCUCCCAUUACAUGACCACAGUAUCCCUUUAAGCUCCCAUUACAUGACCACAGUAUCUCUUUAAGCUCCCAUUACUUGACCCCAGUAUCUCAUUAAGCUCCCAUUACAUGACCCCAGUAUCUUUUGAGUCUCUCACUACCUAACCCAAAUAUCUCAUCAGCUGGACUUAUAGAACUGAUGUAGCUCAUUAGACAAACCUUACUUGACCAUUAUUAUAGAAUGUUAUCCCAGCAUUGAAAGUGUCUUAAUUACUUCAGUUAGUUAAAUUGAAAAGAAGAUAUUGUUUGAUCUAUUCGAUUGUAAACACCUACUUGCAGCUCAUGUUACAUCAAGAAAUAAAAACCAAUGCAAUAAACAAUGUUUGUAUACACUUAU